CAACCACACCUUUCAGUCAUGAAGGCGGAUGCGGACCAGGAUUUGCUCCAGGACCACAGCGGCUAGAUGCAGACAAGCGAGGAACUGCGUCUCCAGAAGAAGCCUAUGACGAAGCAGAGUACGACUACAAUUUGGAUGUCACUACUGUUUCGCCGUCACCCUAGGCGAGUCCCGUUACAGUAUGCCAAUUUUGCAACAUGGUUUUCCCUUUACUUCUAGUGAGGAAAUACAACCUACACUGUCACGAUUCCAUCUUGACGUUCAUUGUACAUGAGUAUUAGUGUUAACUUCCUACUAGUUCCGCUUUUCUU